UAGCAUAGCAAGAGGUGGCAUAUCAACAGGGGAUGGAAGUAAGAAGGGGAACAUUUAACCACAAUAUAAGAAACAUCUUCUUACAGCUAUGACUACUAGCCAGUGGUAGAAGUGAAAACUCCACUGAAUGAUACAUUUAAAUCUCGACUGGACUAAAUACUAUUAUAUAAACUCCAAGAAAUAAAAUUAGUGGAGAAAUGCAUUAGAUUAAAGAACUUCUAGGUAUCUUCUCUAGGAUUCUUUAACUUUCUAUAUUUAUUUUAACCCUUUGCAUGACCAAAAUAAAUGUACUUGUAAUUCAGAUAUUUUCCACAGUUGUUCUGGAAACCUUUCAGUACACAACACAGUUCUUUAGUACUAAUAGGAAUAUACAAUUCAUCUUCUUAAAGGGACUUCAGGAAUUAACUAUCAUUACUUAAGAUAAUUAGUUGAUACUACUUAAGAUAAUUAGCUAGCACUACAGACCGAGCAAAGAUUGCAAGAUCAUUUUAAAUAAUCACUGGCAUCAUAGCAAGCAGUUUACCAAGAGACACAGUCUCAGCCAUUCAAUAAGUUAAAUAGAAAACUGUUAAAAAGUCAGUAAGUAACUGGCUGUAAAACCAAACUAUUUCAAUAUUAUUGUCUUUGUGAAUCUUGAUCCCUGAGAUCAUGUAAUCUCUCCUUAUUUGCAGCAGACCCUGCUAGGUGAGGUAGUACUCACUGUAACAGAAUCUGACCAUUAAUGGAUGUAUCAACUGCAGCCACAUGCGUAGACCAUGACUUUGAAUUUAAAACUACAGCUGAGCAAAAAUUUGCAGCCAAAACUUGUGCAGAUAUUGCCACCCCAAGCAGUAUCUUUGGGGUUGGGGGCGGGGGGAACUAUUGUAUUAAAUUUAUGAAUAGCUUAUAUAUAUUGAUUGUGUUCUACUCCACAGGGAGGGUCAUCACAGCACCUACAGCUAUAACACUAGGGGGUAAUUACCAUAGAGAUUGUAAACACCAAAUACUUUCCACCUCCUUGGGUGGUUUGCCUAUACUCAUUCAGGCUGUUUUUUUCCCCAGAUACUAGGAAACAAAGAAGGGGCUUUUCAUAUAAAAGAAUGAGUUUGAACUGACCUAUGGUCUUCCUUUUGAUUCAACAAACUGACAGGACCUUGGGUCCGCACCGCACCCCCACCCCCAACUUUGCUGAAGAGUUGGAAAGAUUGACACCUACCAGAGCUCUAUUUUGGAGUUGAAGUGUUCUAUAGGUAAGCAAGUGGGAACUUUUACAGUGUUUUGUAUGUGGGUUUUUUCCUUGUAAUGCUUUAACUAUAAUAAAUAAGGCCCUACCAUGAAAAAUGGCCA
rnacentral:lncRNA from 1 species